UCUGUAGAGUAGGACUGGCGGAAACCAAAUUGUUCAUGUAUUAGAAUGUUAUUGUGCAUUAAGUGGUUGUAAAGUCUUUUAUAAACGACGCGCUCAAGGAUCUUUGAGAAUGUAGGCAAUAGGGAUAUUGGGCGAAUGGAUCUAUAAUGGAAGGAUUGAACCUGUGGAGGAUCAACGCAGACAAACGUUUUGAGGGCAUUGAAGACUGUAUGAUCUGUUUCUCUGUUAUCCAUGGUGGAAACUGCUCCCUACCAAAACUUACUUGUAAGACUUGCAAGAAGCGCUUCCACUCAGCAUGUUUGUACAAAUGGUUCAGUACUAGUACGCAGUCUUCUUGCCCUCUCUGUCGAAGUCCAUUCUGAGAACCAAAGCUAGAAAAGUGCAAUCUUGGUGGAUUACUCAUUAUCCUGCCUUAUUCUUCAGGCAAAUUUAUAUCUGUGUUUUUCUUGAAGAAAUAUGUAUUUGUCAAAGGGCACUUUCAAUACCUUAUUCUAUCAUGUAUCAAUAUCCUAUUUGGAUUUAAAUAUAUCUUGAAGAGGACAGAACACCCACUGAUCGAAACAAUGUAGUUUCACUGAGAAAAUACAUUUUCUUAUAAAAUUAGCCUGACAAUGCCUCUUAAUUUAAUCUGGUGAUUGAUUCACAAAGAAAUGUAUCAUAAGGGUUAUGCAUACUGAUGAAACUUUGUUAUUACCUCAUGAAAUUGUCUUAUUGUUCGCUGAAAUUACCCGAUGUUGCUUUUCCAUGAUUUUAUGUUAUGUGUGGGGCCUGAUAUCUGGCCCUGUCAAAGGUCAUACCUCAUCCACAUCCCAUAGAAAUAUGUGGUAAUGAUUUGAUAUCAGCGGUUUGCAUCCACUUGGCCAACUAGCAGAUGGUCUAUUUCUCAGAUCGUCUUACUCCAUCAUAGCUAGGCAUCUGAACUUCCCAAAGUAAAUCAUGUCCUGCUUUUUUGUUCGAUACCCUGAUAAAAAAAAAACAAUUGAGGAAAAGCAAAGUUCUGUUUCUUAAAAGUAAUCCUUGCAUUUCCAUAAUUUCAAUCAUAAACUCUUUAAGAGAUGAAAGAGGAGAUUUUAAGCUUGACAAUGAUAGGUCAUUUGUCUAUCAUUUUUGUGAUGAAGUUAUGAUACAGCCAUGAUAAAUCUUCGCUUCUUUUUUUUUGUUGGACGCACUGUAUACUAUUCCUUAAUAAAGUAACAAGAUUUUUAAAAUCUUUCCCCACAACUUAAGUUCCCUGUUGUACCGGAAACAUCUUAGACUACAACAACAGAAAACUAUUUCCUGAUUAGGAGUUUCCUUGAACAGUGCGGCAUCCAUAUUAUACUUAUGAAAAAUGGAAAUCCAUAUUUUAUCAUUGAAAUUAAAUCUGAAAAAAAAGUACUUCAAAAAUUGUUUUUGCCCAAAAUUGAUCAUGGGCUCGGCAGCCACUGUGCAGCUGCAGAUCGACGUAGCUCUAUCCGUUAAAUUGAUGAACACCAAACAGGAUAGCAGCAACUCCUAUCUUUUAACCUCUGACACGGCCGGGCUGGAACGCGGCCCGACUUUCGGUUGUGAGACGGACGCUAUACCAACUGAGCCAACACGCCAGUAUUAUUAAAAAUAACAAGACUGGAGGAGGCAUUGUUAUUAAAAUGGGUUUCAUGUUGAUAUCUCGCGUCCUUGAACAGUGUGUAAAGGCCACAGCACACCUUACGACUGUUUACGAUCCAAUUUUGGAACAAAUCGCAUUUUGCUCAUUUUCUGAAAAUGUGAAUGGAACAUAUCAUUUUAUUUGAGGUUAAAAUUAAUUGAAAGAAUACUAAUAUAACCAUUUUGAAAGAUUGCAAGCCUUUAUUUUGGAGUAAAGGCCAAAUUAGUUUCUAAUUGUAGCCAAUCGUACGACUGCUAUGACGUCAUUACGACUAGAUAAAUAAUUUGCUUUUAUUCUAAGAAGGAUGAUAGCAUAGUCACAGAUUUGAAGAGAGGUAUUGGUAUGAUGAUUUUGAACAUUACGCAGUAAGAUAUUCCAAGUCUCAAUAUUAGCAUCAAAUUCUACUACGUUUUAUUCCAAAAUUGAGUCGCAGACCAAUCGUAAGGUGUGCGGUCGCCUUUAGGAACUUCAAUAUGUGUGGAUACAAUAUCAAUAUUCCUGUGAAAAUUUAGACUGCCAACAUCUGCCCACACUUACAGGCACUGUUAACUCAACUCUUCUAGGAUUUACUUUACAAUUUGUGUGUCUAAAUAAAAAGCUUUACCCGUUUGAAAUGGCUGCUAAGUGAAGAGAAUAUGGUUUGGCGGGGGUGGGCCCCACCUUUUUCAGUAAAGUAGUAACCUCUGUCAUCUGUCCAUGGUAGCUCAUCGACUUUACUUUCAUAAAAUACCUUAAAAUCUAAAAAUCAUUCAGAAUCUGAAGCCCCCCCCCCACUUUUUCCAGUAAUCAUCUAAAUACGCAAAAAUUACAAUCUGAUUAUGGUUUUUUUCUUACGAUGGUCAUCACCCCCCUGCAAAAUCAUUUUGCAGCCCCUGUAUAGGACUUAACUUUCAUAUGACACCAAAAGUCAGAUGAUUAUUCAUGCCUUGGGGAGCACUGCUCGCUUUCGUAACCAUGGGUAUGACAAUUACUAGUAGGUUGCGUAGGAAUUGGUGUUCAAAUUUGAUUUGAUAAAGCCCCAAAUUAUUUCCCUUUCGCCAAUAGGAUGUUCCAUUCUUGCACAACGUAACGUCCAUAUACUUUUACCUGUGAAUUUUAAAAAUACUUUUUGAGUGUCAUUUAAAAUAAAAGUAGAUGAGCUGGUAUGGACAGCUGACAAGGGUUACUUGAUCAAUUAUAAUGUAUCAUGAAAAUUUUAUUCCAUAAAUUGCUUGGUUGAUUUGUUUAUGUAAAAUCAUAAUGCUUUUUCAGUAUUUAUAUUGAAUAUCUUUUUUGAGUAAAAAAGUGAAAAUGAAGAGGGAUGCUUUUAGUCUCCAUAUUAAAAUAUAAGUGUACUAUUUAAAAUACAACACCUGAAUGCAAACCUUUCCAGACAUACCUUGCGGUAAUGUUGCAAGGAAUUUUCUGUCAGGUGUAAAUUUUGUUUCCAAAUUUAGCAAAUAAAAUUGAAUGAUCAAUUUGUGUAUUGGAGAUCAAUUUAUUUUUGUUUGUACAAAGCAACCAGGGAUCAAUUGCAAAAUAUAGUUGGUUUUUAUUCAUUAAAUUGACUUAUGAUUUAUUGUAAUUUCCUCCAUCAUCCAAAGAUCUACAAUUUGUCAGAUAUUUCAUGUUGUGUUGACAAAUUCCUAACAGGGGACAGUUUCAUGAAUUCAUUACACUGAGUGGUACAAGCUACUGAAAUCCUUGCAUCAGAUUGGGUAAGAGCAAACUUUUCAGUUAAAAGCACUGUUAUAAUACUUCAUGAAAUCCUCCCCCAUCUAUAUAGAAAUAAUGAUAGGUGCACGCAUUGAGAAAGAAACAAAGACUGAAUCGUCUUUAAUGUUUUUUAAGUGAGAAGUAAAGGCAUAUUUUCUCAUAAAUGCAAUAAAUGAAAUUAUAAGCUA